UAUAUCAGGUUGACAGUAGGGGUCCAGGCCAGCAGCAGCAGGAUAGGUGAAAUCACAUUAAGUGGAAUGAAUGUGAUUGGGCCCCAGGCUUGUCAUCAACACACAGGCCUCCAACUGUUUCUGGAUUACAUCGUGAAGGGCAGAAGGGUCCAAAAACUGCAAACAAUUUACUGGAGGGUGUUUGGAGAUUCAGUCAGUUGAGUUCCUCCAGUGAACUGCAAAUCAUUUCCCAUUCAGACAAGCAGUCGUCCUGACCAGAGCUGACCUGGAUCCUCCCGCUUACAAGGGCAGUCUCUCUUCCAAGUGCUGGACGAACGCCUCCUUCCACCUUGAUGAAUAUUGCAGAAGUUCGAGGAGUGUGAGCCAUUGAUGGAAUCCACCUCAAUCAGCAGGAGAAUCGAUGGCAUACACUCACAUUUGCAAAGGCGCUAAUUGGCGGCAGUACAAUUCGGCAAGCUGUAUAAUUUACCCAAGAGAGAAAUGGGAGCGGAGUGCACGGAGAUCAGCUCAUUUGCAACAGAGGUAUUAAAAAACCCUGUCAUUCUAAAAUCAGAAGGCCUUCAACAGAUGCAGAGGAGACCAAACCAAAUGCCAAAUUAUUAAUGUCUCUGCUUGUCAGGGCCAAUGAAGUACAAGCUCUUGAAGGAGGAUUUUUCUUGCUGGAGAAGUAACAUUGAAAACCUCUUCAAUGAAGGACAGAGUCUCACUGGCAAUACCUGACCCUCGCUCUACCCACCUUUGUUAUGCUGACAUACAGUGUUAGCUAAACACACAACUACGAAAUUACACCAGAGGGAACAUUCAGUGAAUAUUUUUCUCUCUUACAUCUUACAGUUGGUGAAAAAGGGCAUGGACGGCAAGGCCUUGACUCCCCUCGCAACAAUAAUUGCACUUUUAGACUGUUUAUCUAAUAAGAGUGCACAGAGGAAGUGAGAUCAGAAGGGAGUGCAGAGGAGAGGAAGAGCGAGUUAGAAAGUGUGGCUGUUGCCCCAGACAACCCCGUGGGUGUAGUUUGAUUCCAGCCGAGGAACUUUGUUGCAUGUCAUACCCCCUUCU